rnacentral:rRNA from 1 species
UUAGACCUACGGGACGCAGCAGUGGGGGAUAUUGCACAAUGGGGGAAACCCUGAUGCAGCGACGCCGCGUGGGCGAAGAAGUAUUUCGGUAUGUAAAGCCCUAUCAGCAGGGAAGAAGAAAUGACGGUACCUGAGUAAGAAGCACCGGCUAAAUACGUGCCAGCAGCCGCGGUAAUACGUAUGGUGCAAGCGUUAUCCGGAUUUACUGGGUGUAAAGGGAGCGCAGGCGGCACGGCAAGCCUGAUGUGAAAGCCCGCGGCCCAACCCCGGGACUGCUCUUGGAACUGCGUGGCUGGAGUGCAGGG